rnacentral:rRNA from 1 species
ACGGAAGGCAGCAGUGGGGAAUAUUGCACAAUGGGGGAAACCCUGAUGCAGCGACGCCGCGUGAGCGAAGAAGUAUUUCGGUAUGUAAAGCUCUAUCAGCAGGGAAGAAAAUGACGGUACCUGACUAAGAAGCCCCGGCUAACUACGUGCCAGCAGCCGCGGUAAUACGUAGGGGGCAAGCGUUAUCCGGAUUUACUGGGUGUAAAGGGAGCGCAGGCGGUCUUGCAAGUCUGAUGUGAAAGCCCAGGGCUCAACCCUGGGACUGCAUUGGAAACUGUGAGACUAGAGUGUCGGAGGGGCAAGUGGAAUUCCUAGUGUAGCGGUGAAAUGCGUAGAUAUUAGGAGGAACACCAGUGGCGAAGGCGGCUUGCUGGACGACAACUGACGCUGAGGCUCGAAAGCGUGGGGAGCAAACAGGAUUAGAUACCCUGGUA